AGCGAACGCUGGCGGCAGGCCUAACACAUGCAAGUCGAACGAACCUUUCGGGGUUAGUGGCGGACGGGUGAGUAACACGUGGGAACGUGCCUUUAGGUUCGGAAUAACUCAGGGAAACUUGUGCUAAUACCGAAUGUGCCCUUCGGGGGACAGAUUUAUCGCCUUUAGAGCGGCCCGCGUCUGAUUAGCUAGUUGGUUGAGGUAAUGGCUCACCAAGGCGACGAUCAGUAGCUGGUCUGAGAGGAUGAUCAGCCACAUUGGGACUGAGACACGGCCCAAACUCCUACGGGAGGCAGCAGUGGGGAAUCUUGCGCAAUGGGCGAAAGCCUGACGCAGCCAUGCCGCGUGAAUGAUGAAGGUCUUAGGAUUGUAAAAUUCUUUCACCGGGGACGAUAAUGACGGUACCCGGAGAAGAAGCCCCGGCUAACUUCGUG
rnacentral:rRNA from 1 species